rnacentral:lncRNA from 1 species
UGCAGCUCUCGUCCCAUUUUAUUUGUUUAUUUUUUAUAUAAUAUGGGUUGGUUGUUGAUUUAUUAUAUUGUCGAAAAAAUUGAUUGUAAGAGAGAAAAUAUAUUUAUGUCAUGUGAAAGAAAAAAAAGAGAAAUAAGUAGAAAAAUGUCGGCAGCCUGUGCCACCUCAUCAUGGAUUCAUGAUCCACAUACAACACGGUUUUUGUCUCAUUAAUUUCAUGUAAUUAAUUCCCAUGCUUUAAAGGGACCACCACGACCGUAAAUCAGACUAUGUGUAAAAGGAAAUUAAAAAUUUUAUACAAGUGAUUGUUAUUAGCCCUAA